rnacentral:miRNA from 1 species
UUUGGUUACGGACCCCUUUCU